rnacentral:rRNA from 1 species
UAAGACAGAGGGUGCAAACGUUGUUCGGAAUUACUGGGCGUAAAGCGCGUGUAGGCGGCUCGGCAAGUCGGACGUGAAAGCCCGGGGCUCAACCCCGGAAGUGCGCUCGAAACUGCCAAGCUCGAGUCCUGGAGAGGAAGGCGGAAUUCUCGGUGUAGAGGUGAAAUUCGUAGAUAUCGAGAGGAACACCGGUGGCGAAGGCGGCCUUCUGGACAGUGACUGACGCUGAGACGCGAAAGCGUGGGGAGCAAACAGGAUUAGAUACCCUGGUAGUCCACGCCGUAAACGAUGAGUGCUAGGUGUCACGGGCUUUGACCCCUGUGGUGCCGUAGCUAACGCAUUAAGCACUCCGCCUGGGGAGUACGGCCGCAAGGCUA